UCCUCGUACUGUUAUGUAGUGGAAAUGAUAGACUGGUGUUUCUUUGCCAGGUUCUCAUCUCUGAUCGUAAGCUGAGCGAAGGUUUACUUGAGGUGCUGAACCAGAGACCACAGUUCUCUCUCUUCAGGGACAUGCUUCUUAAAUUCAACUUGACUGAGGAAAUGGAGAGCGCCUCUGGUUUUACAUUGUUCGCACCUACGGACAGUGCUAUUACUGAAUAUCUGAAGAACACCGGUGAAAGCUCAUUGGACCUGAAUGUGAC